GGCUGGUGAGUGUGGCACAGUGGUAGAGCAUCUGCUUUGCACACAGGAGGUCCCAGGUUCAAUCCAGGUAGGGCUG